GGGCGAUUAGCUCAGUGGUAGAGCGUUUCAUUGACAUUGAAAAGGUCACAGGUUCAAUCCCUGUAUCGCCCACCA
rnacentral:tRNA from 1 species